AUUGGAGAAAGUGAAUUGUCCUACUGCUCAUACUUUUCAGGACAGAAGAUCAAGGACCAGUCAUCUGCACUAGUGACCAACUCAGUAACAUCCUGGUACCAGUUUUCCCUUCUUCCCUGAACCUUCACCUCUGCUCCUGAAGAUCGCUUGGAGAAUAAACCCUAUAUCCACCAACCAGAAGCAUCAUAUUAUGUAUUAAAUCACAUAUGGUGUGUCUCUUAAUCCAC